rnacentral:snoRNA from 1 species
GAGACCAUACUAUACAGAAUCAUUUCUGCAGUAUGUAUCUCGUAAUUCCCAUCAAAUUGGUAGAGAUGCCAACUGCGAUGAAAGGGAGACGGGCGGG